rnacentral:rRNA from 1 species
UACAGAGGGGGCAAGCGUUAUUCGGAAUUAUUGGGCGCAAAGGGCGCGUAGGCGGCUUGGCAAGUGGAAGGUGAAAUCCCUCGGCUCAACCGAGGAACUGCCCUCCAAACUGCUUGGCUUGAGACCGGGAGAGGUGAGUGGAAUUCCCAGUGUAGCGGUGAAAUGCGUAGAUAUUGGGAAGAACAUCCGUGGCGAAAGCGCUCUGCUGGACUGCAACUGACAUUGAGGGACGAAAGCUAGGGGAGCGAAUGGG